CAGUAGCCGCGGGAAUACGUAGGUGGCAAGCGUUGUCCGGAAUUAUUGGGCGUAAAGGGCUCGCAGGCGGUUUCUUAAGUCUGAUGUGAAAGCCCCCGGCUCAACCGGGGAGGGUCAUUGGAAACUGGGAAACUUGAGUGCAGAAGAGGAGAGUGGAAUUCCACGUGUAGCGGUGAAAUGCGUAGAGGUGUGGAGGAACACCAGUGGCGAAGGCGACUCUCUGGUCUGUAACUGACGCUGGGGAGCGAGAGCGCGGGGAGCGAACAGGAUUAGAUACCCCCGUAGUCCCUGUCUCUUAUAC
rnacentral:rRNA from 1 species